UCUGGGAGUAAACGGGUGGUACCCGAAAGUUCGAAAGGGGAGAUUCAAGUCUCGCCGCGCGCCGGGCGGCGGACGCGACCAGAGAUGGUGUUCUCGCGGCUGAGGGGCAACUCUUGGUCCGGGGGUUCCACUCCGCGGCCGCCGUCUGUCCCGGCGUCGGAGUGACGCACUUCUCCCCGAGUAGGACGUCGCGACCCGUCGAGCGCCGGUCUAAGGUCACGGGAGGAGUCUGUGCAGUCUGCUCUUCUGCUGACUGCGCACGACCCCGUGAAUUCCGGCCGGGUGCACGACGGUACGAAGCAUGGAAGGAGUCGACGCGCCACAAGUUGGCGUCCGGCCCUCCGCAAGAGCUCGCGGGAGUCCGGGUUGCGGGCCCGGCCCGAUUCCGGUCUCUCCGCGAGGCUGUUUGCGAUUAGGAGGUGUCCUCGGACGGCGUUGAUUCUCCAGUCGGCGACGCUUCAGCUUGGAUGGCCUACCCGACCC
rnacentral:rRNA from 1 species